AUUGAACGCUGGCGGCAGGCCUAACACAUGCAAGUCGAGCGGAUGAAGGGAGCUUGCUCCUGGAUUCAGCGGCGGACGGGUGAGUAAUGCCUAGGAAUCUGCCUGGUUGUGGGGGAUAACGUCCGGAAACGGGCGCUAAUACCGCAUACGUCCUGAGGGAGAAAGUGGGGGAUCUUCGGACCUCACGCUAUCAGAUGAGCCUAGGUCGGAUUAGCUAGUUGGUGGGGUAAAGGCCUACCAAGGCGACGAUCCGUAACUGGUCUGAGAGGAUGAUCAGUCACACUGGAACUGAGACACGGUCCAGACUCCUACGGGAGGCAGCAGUGGGGAAUAUUGGACAAUGGGCGAAAGCCUGAUCCAGCCAUGCCGCGUGUGUGAAGAAGGUCUUCGGAUUGUAAAGCACUUUAAGUUGGGAGGAAGGGCAGUAAGUUAAUACCUUGCUGUUUUGACGUUACCAACAGAAUAAGCACCGGCUAACUUCGU
rnacentral:rRNA from 1 species